rnacentral:rRNA from 1 species
UAGGGAAUCUUCGGCAAUGGACGAAAGUCUGACCGAGCAACGCCGCGUGAGUGAAGAAGGUUUUCGGAUCGUAAAACUCUGUUGUUAGAGAAGAACAAGGACGUUAGUAACUGAACGUCCCCUGACGGUAUCUAACCAGAAAGCCACGGCUAACUACGUGCCAGCAGCCGCGGUAAUACGUAGGUGGCAAGCGUUGUCCGGAUUUAUUGGGCGUAAAGCGAGCGCAGGCGGUUUCUUAAGUCUGAUGUGAAAGCCCCCGGCUCAACCGGGGAGGGUCAUUGGAAACUGGGAGACUUGAGUGCAGAAGAGGAGAGUGGAAUUCCAUGUGUAGCGGUGAAAUGCGUAGAUAUACGGAGGAACACCAGUGGCGAAGGCGGCUCUCUGGUCUGUAACUGACGCUGAGGCUCGAAAGCGUGGGGAGCAAACAGG